rnacentral:lncRNA from 1 species
CUGAACAAACAAGAAACUCUGGAGCAAAUGGAGCGCACCAACAUCUUCCGCUGAGCUGAUAGUCUACUUGGAGGACUCUCGACCUGUCUAUCGAGACCUAUGGGCAUGAAAUGCAGUGUUCCCAGGAAAAAUAGAUGUUAGUACGAAUAAUGUACCGAGUAUGUAAGGCACAUAAAUAAGUACAUAAAAAGACAAGGAAGAAAUAUAGAGUAAAUGACUCAAACUGUACGUCUGGAUAACUCUGUAAAUCAUGAAAUACUUAUAGUGUCAUGCAUAUGCAUAUGAAUGUCAUGUCGUGCAUAGGUACAUGUGUUCAUAAUAUCAUCAAGCCUCUGAGGGCAUCCCAUCAUAUCAUCUCGGCAACUGUGGGCAAAAUCAUCAACGUAUGCCAAUUGAUUAGGUGGUGGUGCAUAUAUAAUGUCGUAACCUUUUCCCAUAUCACAUAUACAUAUAUACAUACAUAUAUACGUGUAUAUAAUGUCAUCUGGUCAUGAGUCAAUAUAAAUGAAUGCAAUGCAUAAGAAAUAUGUCAAUAAAAUCUUUCGAAGUGUCAUAAGACCAUUAUGCCUUUGAUUAAUAUCAUGAAAUCAACUUACGUAUUUUCAGAGACCCAUGAACAGACGAUAGAAUAAUAAGACAUAUGGGAAUUCAAGAACGCACUCAUCUCUAAUAUUUCUAUGAAUACAGUCAUUUAUGAAACUUGUGCAUUUGCUCGUUUUAUUCAUGUCGUAUAGAUCAUGCCAAAAGGAAAGAAGAAAUAGGCUUAACAUACUUGAACCGGUUCUCUUGACAAUCCGUCUAACACAUGACAAUCGUGACAAAACACGUGACUUCAUGAUCGGAGUAGGAAACAAUCCGAAUAAUAUUCUUGAGAAAGAUUGUACCGUGUUCUCUUAGACUUGCAAGUCAUGUUGCUAUUACAUAAUGUAUCUCAUAUGAAUUUUUGUUGUAGCUUCAUCCGCACUUUAUCAUAAUCUUCAUAUGCAUUGUUGUACUACUAAACAUUUGGCUCCACAAGUAAAGCUCCAAAUAACUAUGAAAGAAUAUUUGAAAGUGCCAAGCUCCAUACAAUUAAAUCACAUGUGCCCUCUUUGCCAUGACCACUAGGAAGAUAACAUCACCUUUGUAUUUGUUGCAAGGUUUCUUGGAAGCUUAAUCCAUCAGCUUUUUCCCUCUUGAAUUGUGUAUAAUAAUCUCUUAUCUUGUAGAUUUGUGGGCCCCCACUUUGUGGCUUAGUUUGCCAAAGACUCCUCCACAUUUUCCCACCUUUUAUGUGAUUUUAAAAGUCAAAUUUUUGUGAAUUGUUGGCUGCCACGUUAGGCGCACUUUGUCUUAUCCAAAUAUUAUCCACUUAACCCAUUAAUUAAUUUGUUAAUCCCUGAUUAACUAAUAAUUACAUAAUUAUCCACAUAAUUAGGAAUUAUCUCAAAUUACGUAAAAUACUACUCGUCGUUAACAUACCUUAUACAGUUUACUACCAUGGUCAUUUGGUACCUUGUAUGGUACUAGUCUAUAAGUACCGGGUAUUUUAGCUCGGGCCGUAUUUUAUCCCAAAAUGUUAAAUUUUGACAAAAAUUCAUUUUCUUCGAUUUGCUUACCCUCUCACCUUCACGAAUUUACUCAUCACUUAUUUGAAAUAGCAUAAUGCUUAUAAUCUCUAAAUAAUCUUGUCCUUGAACUAAGGUCAAUUAUCUUAUGACAAUUUCACGUAUAAUACUGCAAGGCAUAACAUUAUCGUAAUAUAAUACUGCGGAGCAUAACAUCAUCGUAAUGCAAUACUGCAGGGCGUAUCAUUAUCGUAAUAUAAUACUGCAGGGGGUAACAUCUUUGUAAUAUAAUAUUGUAGGGCGUAAUAUCGGCGUAAUACUGCAGGGCAUAACAUUCCUGCCCGGGAUGUUAUUGAUAUAUAAGAAGCCAGUACGUGAAGUAAGUUAAAACAAAGAAAAUAAUCCAAGAAAGAUUACGUGGAAUAUGGAUAUGAGAAUGGGCCAAUGAGUAGUUAGUAGUUGAUUCAGGAAGGGCCUAGUUAUGGCUAGACAAGAGGAUACAGACAAAUCAAUAGAUCGUUCAAGAUAAACAGAAUGAACCCCAACAUGGGAAAUUCAGCCUCACAGAUACGACAUCAUGACCUUGAGAAAUAUUAGAUAUGAGUUGAGGUAGUUAAAGAUACCGUAUGAGUAUUAUGGAAAUGAAAGAGAGUUCCACUAGGAAGACAGUCAAAACUUCAAUUCAGAAGCAACCGUACGAGCACAUGAGUGUGGAGGUAAGUAACAAAGGAUAAUUAUAGGUAAGUACGAACAUCAAAAAUUCUAUCGGCUAAGCAAUAUAACAAGCUGGUAACUUUACAAGAGCCAGAAGGUCCUCCCUAAGUACUAAAACGAAAGAUUAACUGAGGGAAUAAGGAAGAAGGCUUCGGCCUAAGCAUAGUGACCUAAAGAGGAAAUGGUCUUGUAACAAUAGUCUCACAGUAACAUUGUAUGCACUCCAUAAUAAAGUGGCACCUACCGUGGCUAAUGAACGGGAAGUAAAAUCAGAAGUGAUAUUCAAGAUCACAUGAGUUGUAUGGAAUUCAAUAUGUGUUGGCAGUAAGGUAAGCUAAGUAUUCACGCAAUAAGGGACGCAAUAAGGGGCAGGAAGACCAGGAAAAGUAAUUUCUUACAUUUAAAGAAAGCUGAGAAGGAACGGAAAAAAUCAUUCGAUUAAUAAUCCAGAGUUAGUUACGCUAUGAAUGCACUUAAGAGUUUGGAGUUUUAUACAUGCAACAUAUAUGUUGACAAUCAUACCGACAUAGAAGACUCUGGUAUAAGUUGAAAGAAUAAUUGAGUACAGGUCAUAGACAAAGGAGUGAAUUGUUAGAAGAUUGUAUCCUGAAUAUUCCAUAGCGUCCAUGAAGGGCUAAAGUAAUAUCAUGAGCCGCAGAUCGAAAGAUAGCUUAAGCCUACAUAAAGGUUGAUAAUAAGGAGAGGAAACUAAAGAGUUACAUCAACGAUGUAAAUCAUGAGUCUGAUUAUUGGACCCAGAAAAUUAUAGAAAUCAUGAUUGAGAAUAUUACAGGAUUACUCUUAGAUAUCAGAGGUACAAGAGAGAUAGUACAGUAGUCAUAUCCUAUAACGGCUCUACGAUAAAGCCCAUUAGAAGAGUGUCAGCCUCAUAAGAAGUCAGUAUGAAGCUCCCACCGGAUUAUGUAUACACCAGAGGUGCAAGUAUUAUAAUAAAACCUCAAGUUAUGGAUGUGAAUUAUACCUAUGUCGAAGGAAGGUCAUGAAAGAGAUACAAGACGUGAUGCAAUAUUUUAAGGUAAGUAAGGUAAAGUUGAAUAACGUAUGUGAUAUUCAAAAGUAGGAGGUUGUGAAUAGUCCAUACUUUGGACAAAAGGCUAAAAGCGUGGGGAUUCAGUAUCAAGAAUGAUAGCGGCGUCGUCAGUGACAUGUCUUCCAGCCUAUGGUUUCCAGGUAUCGAAGAGACUAAUUGAGAGAGUAAAGAAGAGUUAGAGACGAUGUGAUGUCACUCUUGAUGUUCCAGAAUGACAUAAGGAAAUAUAUGACGCGAGUAGUAUAAAUAGAUAUACGUAGGACGCAAGCUAAAGUAUGGUAAAGCAACAAGGUUUUAGGAAGACAUGAAUAAGGACAAGAAAGGGCGAAUGAGAAGGUGACGAGAAACACGUUAUUUCUUGGGAUUAAGCCUAUGAAAACAAGAGAGCUAAUAAUUUCUCGAAGUUAUAGAAAGCGCAAUAUAGCUGAAUGAACUCAAAGGAGCUACCAUCAUAAAUAGCAUAUAAAAGAGAUGGAAUGCUGCCCUAAUAGUAGAAUAAGGGUGUAAUUGUCACACCUCCUUUUUACCUACACCCCCUAGAAGGGAGUAUAUAAGGGAGUUUUUUUCAACUUAAAGUGACAAUCGAAACAGGAUUAUUUAUUAAAAGAUUCAGAGUCGCCACUUGGGAUAAUUUAAGGUGUCCCAAGUCACUGGUUCAAAUCCCGAAUCGAGGAAAAGAUUGAUUCUGUAUUACAGUCGGCGAACACAGAAAUCCGAGUAAGGAAUUCUAUUAACCCAGGAGAAGGUGUUAGGCAUUCCCGAGUUCCGUAGUUCUAGCACGGUGGCUCAACUGUUAUAAUUGGCCUAUUAUCUGAUUAUUUAAAAAAAAAUGUUUGAGCCUAUAGUUCAAUUUUAACUUUAUACCCGCUUUUAUUCACAUAUUUUUAGGAAGAUUCAAUGUUGCAUAAAAUGCGUCUUGAAUCACGUCACAUAAAUGCACCCGCGGUCCACGACACAUUUUAUAUAACGUUGUUGAGAUUUGGAUUUGGGUCACAUAAAUGCGCACCCGAGUUUAAGGAAAUUAAUUGACAUAGUUCAGCAAUCCAAUUUCUAUACUGUGACAAAAUCACGUUCAGCUAUAACUAAUUCGAGUAAACACGAAUAUAUAACCGAGCAAGCAAAUUCAAAACCACGGAGAAUAAUUACAGAAACAACGGGGUCGCGUCACCAAACAAAUAAUUAAUAAGGGCUUGCAUAAAAUGAGUAGAGGAUGAAAGAGUUGAACCCCAAUAUAGCCGGAAAAUUGAUUGUUUCAAUGUCUUGAACUCAAAAAUGUGACGAACCACGGACGGGAACCCAAAUCGGCACCGAAAAUUUACAAUCGGAAAUAAACUCGAAUCAACCUCGACUAAACUCCAUUUUUGAAGCGAAAUUCAAAAUAAAAAUGAAGGAGCAUAAUAUUUUUUUUUUUGACGGACAAUGGCAGACGUUUUCUUUCUUCUUCUUUUUUUAUGCGUUUUUUUUCUUAAUUCUUUUCCCUCAUUGUUCUAUCCCCUCUAUCCUCAAUCCAUGUUCCAACGAAAUAGCUCCAAGUCCAGAUGCCAAAGGAACGAAAAGGCCAGCUUCAAAGCUUCAUCUAAAAUCUAUAUUACUACUUCGCCAAUCUUCUAAACUUCAACCGAUCAAUUAAUGAAUCUAUUGUUCUCUUUUCCGUGUGUGUGUGAAUGGUGAGCGUUAGAUCUGGAAGAAGAAAUUGGAACUGUGUUAACCUUUCGCUCUCAAAUCAGCGAACAUCUUGUUUUUUUCGAAGAAGAAAAGAGCUGAUGGGGGUGUGGGGGAAAUCGUUUUUUGGUUAUCUUGAAUUGCAGCGCUACUCUUUGAUUUUUUUGGAGUCUAGCUUUUUGCUUUUUUUUUUUUUUUUGGUCUUUUCGCUGAUAGGUCUUAGGUUAGCUUUUAGGCCUCCUUUUUGGUUGUAUUUUCGCUGAUCUUAUUUACAGAAAACGGCGAAUCAGUAGUUUUUAGGCGUUCCUCCAUUAUUUUUGUGUAUUAGGUACUAUUAUAUAGGGGUAGGAAUUAGGUUAGGGGUAUGACUUGGGAAUUAUGGGCUAGGUCUAAAAUUAGGCUUAAAAAUGGGUUGCUCGAGCCCAAGUUUUAUUCUUUGCCUGUGAACGAGAUUAAAAAUGUGAUCUCAUUUAUUGAUUAAUCCUACUUAAAUAAAAUAACUAUUAAAGUAAGACUGACCGUUAAAAUAAACUAUUUUUUUUGGUAUUUUCGAGAUUAAAAAUAACUAUUGAACAUUAAUGGAACAAUUUUUGUAAUUUUCAUUUCUCUUAUAAUAAAAUAAAGUAAAUGAGUAAAAAUUAGUUGAAAUAACUAUAUUGUGCCUAAAUUAAAUAUUUACGUGCUAAAAUAUGAAAAAUCUUGGGGAGGGUCAAAAAUCACAUGUCUACAGUAAUUAUGGUAGAUAAAGGAUGGCGUUUGGGCCUUCGAUUGAGUAAUGACUUGAAGAGGAUUUAAUGAAUUGUACAGGAUUAAAAUACCCAUGUAAGGUGAGUCAUAUUGUGAUGCUACAAAAUACCGUUAUGGAAGUGUAGCAUCGCCACUAGGUGGAUAAAUCUAAUUACUCCAGAUGUCCCUGAUGAGACAUGAGCCCUAGUGGCAGUGUUACAUAAGAGAUCAAGUUAUCAGUGGUGGAUGAUAGAUCAACAUUAAGGUGAAUCAACAGUGGAUAGACAAAAGUCACAAAGUAUGAGGUGAGAUUAGGUCGUCGUUCUUAAGAUGAACAAGUAAUGAGGAAGCAUUAAAGGACUUAGAUUUAUACAUAUGGGAUAAGUAACGAAAGUAACCUGGAGUUCGGUAGCAGACCUCAGUAACGAUAAAUCGAAGUAAGAGUUAUGAUAUAGUAUGACUUGUUUAGAUGCAGUAAAAUCAUACGAAUGGAUAAGCGGAUCUAUGAAAUAAGAUAUAGCAAUAUUCAUAAGUUCGACAAAGUACCAAGCGAAGAACUUCAGUAUAUCUAUAGAUGCCUAGAGGGACAUUUUAUCAAGCUCUGUAUAUGUUUACAAAGUGAGGCCUAAAAAUUGGCUAAAAGCUGGAGGAAAAAUGAGAGAAGAGUCACAUAGGCGCACUUAUAAAGUCAGAGUCGUACAUGCUGCAUGAUAAAAGGUAGCAACAGUUACAAGAUUGAAAGGAUUCCAACCAUGAGUCGUGAUGUGGGAAUGAGGCCUAAAGGAGGGAAUGUCAUGUCCUUUGGAUUUAUUCAUAGAACAGUUGCCUAGAUAGAAAGGAGAGAACUAAAGUAUUCGAAGGACAUAAGUGAUGGAAACGAUAAGUGCAACAGUCAACAUUCGAGGACGAAUGUUCCAAAGGAGGGAAUAAUGUUACGCCUCAUAUUUCGUACGUGAAAGUACGCCAUAAAUAAAUUGAUGAAAGCUCGGAAAUGAGAUGUUACACUCCGCAUUUUCAUAUGUUAAAGUUUCAUUGUAAGUUAAUCGACGUAAAUUCGGGAAUGGGUUUAUUUUGAGAUUAUAAGCACUAUGCUAUUUCAAAUAAGGGAUAAGUAAAUUCGUGAAAUUGAGAGGGAAAGAAAAUUGAAGAAAAUGAGUUUCGUCGAAGUUUGCCAAUUUGGGAUAAAAUACGGUUCGAGCUUUAAUACCCGGUAUUUAUGGACUAGUGUCAUACAAAGUACCACAUGACUAUAACGGUUAGGUGUACAAAGUGUGUUAAAAAUGAGUAGUAUUUUAAGUAGUUUAAGAUAAUUCCUAAUUAUGUGAAUAAUUGGAUAAUUAUUGGUUAAUGGAAGAUUAAAAAUUUAAUCAAGUGAUUAGUGGAUAAUUAAUUCAAACAUUUGGAUAACAAUUACAUCUCAAAACGUGGCAGCACAUCAAUACAAAUUGAUCACUCUUAAAUCAUAAUGCAAGGGGACCAAAUUUUAUGAAUUUUGGUGGCAAUGUCUUAAAGUGGGCCCACCUAAAAAAUUAAUACACCAUUCCUAGUCCAAGAUUCACUGUCUAAUUCUAAUAUCUUAGAAACGUUACUAUCCAACUCACAAGAGAGUUUCAGCCAAGCACUUUAAAACAUUACCAUCCAAAUCACUUUCUAAUCCAAAAAAAAAAACACAGCAACGUUAAUUCACUUUCCAAAAUAGCAAUGUUGUUGCAAAGUUUUUAAGGAAAGUUUUCGGUCAAGAUUUUCUUUGCAUAGGAAACGUGAUGGCUUCGAGCUUUUCAUACGACGUGUUCCGUGUUUUGUCGCAACUAACGUGUGUUGGAGGACUGUUAAGAGAAUCGACUCAGGUAUGUUAAGGCUAUCCCUUCUUUCUUUUGGCAUGAUCUCUACGACACAAGUGAAACGAGCAAAUGCACAAUUUCCAUGAAUAACUCUAUUCAUAGAAAUACUAGAGGUUCCUAUAUUUUUGAUUCCACAUGUCUUAUUAUUCUAUCUGUUCAUGGGUCUCAGAAAUUACGUAAGUUGAUAAAGUUUAUUAUAUGAUAUUAAUCAAAGGCAUAAUGGUCUUAUGACAUACCGAGAGAUUUUAUUAACGUAUUUCAUAUGCAUUUCAUGCAUUGACCCAUGACCAGAUGGUAUUAUAUAUGCGUAUAUAUAUGUAUAUGGGAUAUAGGAAAUGUUAUGGAGUUAUAGACGCACCACCACCUGAUCAGCUGGUAUACGUUGAUGAUUUUGCCUAGAGUGGCCAAGAUGAUAUGAUGGGAUGCCCUCAGAGGCUUGAUGAUGUUAUGAACAUAUGUACCUACGCACUACAUGACAUUCAUACGCAUGGAUGGCACUAUGAGUCUUUCAUGAUUUACAGAGUUAUUCAAACUUACAUGUCGAGUCUUUUACUCUAUGUUUCUCUCAUGUCUAUUAGUUACUGNNNNNNNNNNNNNNNNNNNNNNNNNNNNNNNNNNNNNNNNNNNNNNNNNNNNNNNNNNNNNNNNNNNNNNNNNNNNNNNNNNNNNNNNNNNNNNNNNNNNNNNNNNNNNNNNNNNNNNNNNNNNNNNNNNNNNNNNNNNNNNNNNNNNNNNNNNNNNNNNNNNNNNNNNNNNNNNNNNNNNNNNNNNNNNNNNNNNNNNNNNNNNNNNNNNNNNNNNNNNNNNNNNNNNNNNNNNNNNNNNNNNNNNNNNNNNNNNNNNNNNNNNNNNNNNNNNNNNNNNNNNNNNNNNNNNNNNNNNNNNNNNNNNNNNNNNNNNNNNNNNNNNNNNNNNNNNNNNNNNNNNNNNNNNNNNNNNNNNNNNNNNNNNNNNNNNNNNNNNNNNNNNNNNNNNNNNNNNNNNNNNNNNNNNNNNNNNNNNNNNNNNNNNNNNNNNNNNNNNNNNNNNNNNNNNNNNNNNNNNNNNNNNNNNNNNNNNNNNNNNNNNNNNNNNNNNNNNNNNNNNNNNNNNNNNNNNNNNNNNNNNNNNNNNNNNNNNNNNNNNNNNNNNNNNNNNNNNNNNNNNNNNNNNNNNNNNNNNNNNNNNNNNNNNNNNNNNNNNNNNNNNNNNNNNNNNNNNNNNNNNNNNNNNNNNNNNNNNNNNNNNNNNNNNNNNNNNNNNNNNNNNNNNNNNNNNNNNNNNNNNNNNNNNNNNNNNNNNNNNNNNNNNNNNNGCUGCGUUACAUGCCUACAGGUCCCGAUAGGCAAGUCAAGAGUCCUCCAAGUAGGCUAUCAGUUCAACGGAAGGUGUUGGUAAGAUUCAUUUGCUCCGGAGUUGCUUGUUUGGUCAGUAUGAUUUAGAUGUGUAUUGUUUGGUAUGGCGGGGCUCUGUCCCGACUUUUAUGACAAUUUUGUAUUCUUAGAGGCUUGUAGAUAGAUGCCAUGUUCGUAAAAGAUUCUAUGGCCUUGUAGGCCUAUGUUCAGUGUACAAGUGGUUAUUUUGGUCUUAUAGACCCGUAUGUCUUAUGUAUAAGUUGGUAUUACAUGUUGUAUUCUACUUAUCUCACGGCAGCCUCUUCAGCUCAGUUAUCUAUGAUAGUAUGAUGCAAAAUGAUAUGUUAUGUUGGUACUCGGUGGAGUAAGGUACCGGGUGUCUAUCGUGGCCCAUCGAUUUGGGUCGUGACAAAACCCCUCGUAUCUAGCCACAAUUAACUCAAUAACAUCAAUUAUUGCUAAGGGAAUCAACUACAAUGCAUAAAUUUAGAUUUCCCAACCUUUCCCCCAAAAAGUCAAAAAUCGACCCCGAACCUGCUUGGUCAAAACUCGAGGUUCGGACCAAAAUCCAUUCACCCAUUCACUCCCGAUCCUGAGUAUGUAAUUAGUUUUGAAAUCUGACCCCAAUUUGAGGUCUAAAUCCCAAUUUUCCAAAAAUCCCUAAUUCUACCCAAACCCCCAAUUUCUACCAUGGGUAUCCUAGAUUUUAGAUUGAAAAUUCAUGAAAUGUGAUGGUAAAUUGAAAGAAAGUAGGUUAGGAUCACUUACCAAGGUUUUGGGGAAGAAUUGGUCUUGGAAGAAUCGCCUCUAGGGUUAUAGGAUUUGAAAAUUUGGAGAAUGGGAGAAAAUCCCAUCUAAGUCUCAUUUACCCAGCUGCAGAUAUCGCAAAUGCCACCUGGGCUUCGCAUUUAUGCAUUAUUCGCAAAUGCGAGGUAUAGUUCACAAAUGUGAACAUGGGCUAGACCACAAAUGCGACCAUGUGAUCGCAAAUACGAAAACCACACCUCCCCAGUUCCCAUCACAAUUGCGAGAAAUUGCUCGCAGUUGCGAACAUUGGUCUCCACAGUUACUCUUCACAUUUGCGAUGAGAAGCUCGCAAAUGCGAACUCUUCAGAGAUCGUAAAUGUGAUGAUUGACCUCGCAUUUGCAAGGUCUGAGGCUUGCAACAAAUUCUGAUGCACCAGCAUUGUUCUAAGUCCCAUUUUCAUUCUGUAGCUUAUUCAAAACUCACCCGAUCCCUCGGGGCUCCAAACCAAACAUACACACAAGUCUUAAAAUAUCAUACAAAAUUGUGCGCAUGAUCAAAUCGCCAAAAUAAUAUGUAGUACUACAAAUUUAGCACCAAAUCAAAUGAAAUUCUCAAGAACGCUUUAAAAUUUCUAUUUCAACUGGACGUCCGAAUCACGUCAAACCAACUUCAUUUCACACCAAAUUUCACAGAUAAGUUAUAAAUAUCAUAUUGGACAUGUACCAGGAUCUGCAACUAAAAUAUGAACUCGGUAUCAAUAAGGCCAAAUAUCAAUGUAUUCUUUAAAACUAUUAAAUUUUCAGACUUUUAAUUUUCAACAAAAAUUCAUAACUCGAGUUAGGGACUUCGGAAUUCGAUUCUAGGCAUACGCCCAGGUCCCAUAUUUUAUUACGGGUCCACUGGGACCGUCAAAAUACGGGUCUAUGUCUGGGUCCGGGUCCGAGUUCGUUUACUCAAAACGUUGACCAAAAUCAACUAAAAAUCAACUUUUAAGGCAAAAUUUCUUAUUUUUAUCAACUUUCAUCAUAAAAGCUUUCCGGAAACACGCCCAGACUGUGCACGCAAAUCGAGGAGGGUAAAAAUGAGUUUUUUGGACUUAAGAGCGUAGAAUCAGGUUCUAAAACUUAAGAUGACCUUUUGGUUCAUCAUAGCAGAUUUCUUCCUAUUGCAAGAGAAGAAGAAAAGUGUGGUCCGCGCAUGAAAUUGUGCGGCGGCAGAACCUGCCGAAGGGCAUUUUUGUCAGCAAAAUUUUGGAUACUAUAAAUAGUCGAGAAACAUUUUUUAGGGCAAAUUUUGUAUUCCUAGAAGUUAUAGCGGUUAUAUGUUACCUUUUUGGGAAAGUUAUGAUCAUAAUUGGAGAAGACCCAUUAUUUUUUUCUUUUAAUUGUAGUUUUUGUCUUUAAUUACUUCUUCCAUUUUGUUUUCUAUGUCUUCAAGCAUGAGUAGCCUUGUUUAUUCUUUAUAUGAAUCAAUGAUUACAAAUAUUGAUUUAUGCCUAUUUGACUUAGUUCUUACAUGAAAAAGAGGAGCCUGGUCUAGGAAAGCUUGGAUAAGAAGAAAUUGAGCUAGUUAAGGUUUUGUCCAGUUUGAUUAAAGGAUUUGAACUAGAGAUAGGGAAAAUUCGACUUGGGGAUUACUUAGAUUGCUACCCACUUGGACUUGCGAAAACUAAUUUGGGCAUAAUCACUUUAUGACCGACUCUAUGACCGAGAGGUAUUGAGUGGAUAAUUGAUUCUUAGAUAACAAUCACCUACUUUGUUUGAAAGUAUAAUUAAGUUAUUUCACGUUUUCUUCUUGAGUAUUUACCUUAAUAUCAAUCUUAAACUCCCUGUGGAAUUCGACCCCGACUCAAAUUAAGUAUUAUAAUUGCAACAAUUGUUUUCUACUUAAUAUUGAGUAUGGAUUAGAAGUGAUCAUUUCCUCCCCCACACUGAGAGACAGCUGGUGCCAUAGGAAAUACUUCUACCUGGGCCACACUCUCCAGCUCGAAGUACGAGAGUAGCAACGAAUCCCUCCGGGACUUGAACAGGUCCGACUGGUGCGGUCUAAACAGGGAUCUCCUCUUCAUGCUCGAUCUAAGGCUCUACAAUGGGUGUUGUUGCAUGUGCUCUAUGUUGUGCUCUGCCUCUACCUUUCCCCUACCUCGGCUCCGACCCCUAUCCUAGUAGUGGCUGUAACAGGGGGCUCUGGAUCCUGCCUGAUUUUAGAUUUUGUGUGUUUCCUCACAAUCUGUGAGAGAAUAAGAAUAUAAUGGUUCAAACUUUAGUAAUAGAAUAAAGCCGCACGAUAGAUAAAGAAAGAAGUAAAAUUUUCCUAAAGCCCUAUAGCCUCGAGAAGAUAAGUACAGACGUCUCCAUAUUGAUCCUCCAUACUCUACUAAGCUUGCUCAUGACUCGCGAUACCUAUGCAACUUACUCUGAUACCAACUUGUUAUGAUUCGGAAUCCCAACCUCGGGGCCGUGAUGGCGCCUAACAUUUCACUUGCUAGGCAAGCCAACGUUAGCUAAUUACUUACCAGAUUUAACCUUUUAAAAUAGAACAUAAAUAAUAAGAAGCUAUAAUAGUCUGAAAUAAAUGUGAUAAAUGCAACGUAGCGUAGUCUAAACAUAUCCCAGAAAUCUGGAGUCCUGAAUACAUGAGCAUACUAUAAUUAUACAGUUAAAAUCAAACAAAUUACAACUGUUCGAAAUAAGGAAAACACUAAAGAUAGGGUAGAAGGGGACUUUAAGAUAUGUGAACGCUAGCAACUCUACCGCAAGUAUCCGAAAGAAGUUGAAUCUGAACAGUCUCCACUACGCGUCGCUGAGACCAAAUCGGUCCGGUAUAUGUACAAUUACAGAAGUAUAGCAUGAGUACAACUGACCCCAUGUACUAUGUAAGUGUUGAGCCUAACCUCGACGAAGUAGUAACGAGACUAUGGCAAGCCACUCACAAAUAACAUGUACGAAAUAAUAAUAACAGAAAAUAGGAAUAGAAAUAAAGCAAUAAAUUCAUAUAAACGGACCCAAAGGUCCACUACCAGAGGACCCCAGAAAAACAUAAAUCUCAAAUCUCAUAUCAUAAUACUAAGAGUAAACUCUACCGCCACAAACAACUACAACACAUCAAAUCCAUUGCGGCGUGCAACCCGAUCCCAAGUUUCAACAUAAUAUCUUUUACAACGUACAACUCAUUCCCAAUACCAAUAUCAUAUCAUUUCUUAUUAUUGUGUUGCGACGUGCAACCCGAUCCCCAAAUAUCAAUUCCUUUCAAUACUGUUGCGAAGCGUAACCCGAUCCUCCAAUAUAAAUUUAUCAACAUAAAUGACUCAACACCACUGUUGAUACAAUUUUACCCUCAUAUUUUAUAAAAUAUUUCAUAUACUUUCAAAACAUCAUUUUGUACUAUUACCCAAUUUAUAGGGGAAUAUAAGUAUUUUCUAUAAUUUUUAAAGCUUUAAAAUUAAUUUUCUUACACGUUCAAAUAUUUAUUAAUUAUUCCUUGAAAUUAUAUUAUGGUGACUUAAUCAUUCAAAUUUAUUAUUUGUAUCCACACACAUCUUAUAGUAUUUUACUCCUUUUUUACAUAAUUAUAGUUGCCUUUUCUAUAAUAUUUGCAAUAAUAGCAUGUAUUCUCAUAGUAAUUACAUUUCAUUGUAUUAUUUAUGUCCAAAUAGCAUCUUUAUAUUUUUAUAAUCCUGAGUUAUUAUUUUUAAGUAUUUAACAUCUUAAAUAAUAUUUUUUAUUUAUUUUAUAGAUAUUUUUAUAAUUUAUUUUAAUAAAUUUCGUGUAUUUUAAAAUUAUAGCCCAAGAUAGGGCUAAUUUUCGGACCAUUUAAGGUCCAAAUGAACAUGCCCAUCCCAAUUGACCCCACAAGCCAAAACAAAAUUGCUCUCUUUAAGACUAGGUCGCGACCCAUUACACAAACUCGCCACAUAUUCUUUAAAUCAUGGCCGUUAAUCUCUCAAGAUCAACGGCCCAUAAUCACCCCACCCUUUUAAUUGACCAAACCCUCAGAAACCCUACCUAUUUCACGUCCCCAGGUUCGUGUUCGCGAUGAAGACCACAACCAUUUCCCCCAGGUCAUCCCAAAGCAUCACGUUUGUGAGACGCCUGUUGAGUUCGCGACGAGUAAGCCUCUCAUUGCUUCAAAUUCGCGACCGGGACUUGCAUUCACAAAGACCAACCAGCCCCUAACCCAAGUUUCCCCUUCGCAAUCUUGAAGCACAAGACACCACACACUAGAAACAACAGUUUACAAGUUCAAAAUAAUCUAAAACUCACAUGAGCCCCUCUGGCUCCAAACUAGACAUGCACACAAGUGUAAUAAUAUCAUAUAAACUUUCUCGCACAAUCAAAAUACCAUAAUUACACCUGGAACCACGAAUCGAACAUCAAAACACAUAAAAUUCAAAAGGAAACUCAAGAGUAGCUAGAAACUCAAUCAAGUGUCUGAUUCCUAUCAAACCAACUAGGAACUGCACCAAAUUUUGCAUACAAGUUUCAAAUAACAAAACAGAACUAUUUCAAGUUCCAAAACCAAAAUUCGAACCCGAUAACCAUAAAGUAAACCUAUGGUCAAAUUUAAAGAGUUUCCAAACAUUCAAAUCGCUAACUUUAGGCAAAAUAAGACAAAUCAACCUAGGGACAUCCGAAUUCAAUUCCGGGUAUACGCUCAAGUCAAAAAUCACAAUACGAACCUACUAAAAUCGUCAAAUCGCUGAUCCGAGGUUGUUUACCCAAAAUAUUAACGGUAGUCAGCACAAGUUGUUUUUAAAGCCAAAGAUCACUUUUUUUAAUUUUUUUACGUAAAAUAUUUCUGAAAGAUGAUACAAGCCACUCACGCUAAUCAAGAAGUAUUGAAUGAAGCUAAUAGAGGUCUUAAAAUGUAGAAAUAAGGGCUAGCACUCAAAACAACCUAUCUAGUCGUCACAAGAACCAAUGAAUUUGAAUAAUGUUUAGUGCACGGGACAAGCUGGGAGAGAGAAGAUUUAAUGCAACAGUUACAAAAGAAGAAGGACCAGUGGGGAGGCAGUUGGGUUUUUUGUGAUGACCCGAUCAUUUUUAGUUUUAGAAGUUCGAAUUAUGUUUCGAGAAUUUUGGUAGCCUGGGAUAGUUAUUUGGGACUUGUAUGCAAAUUUGGGACUUGUACACAAGUAUAUAUUAUGUUGAAAAGUAAGCUACACAUUCUCUUCAUAUGUCACCCCAUUUCUCCUAUUUUUCUUUCUGGGUAUGUAUGGUUGACUUAAAGCCAGUGGCGAAACUAGAAAUUUCUCCAAAGGUGUUUAAAUUUAAAAGAAGGGGAAAAAAAUUCGACAAAAGGUGUUCAAUAUGUGCUAUAUACUUCAAAAGCGUAAUAUUUUGCCUCUGUAAACAGUGCAAUUUUUCGACGAAGGGUGGUUAGUUGACCACCCUUAUCAACAUGUGGCUCCGGCACUGCUUAAGGCAGUAUAAUUGUGUUAAAAUUUACUGUAACUUUAAUGAUAGAAUUUGGGUUUUUGCUUAUUCAUUUUCUUCAUUUGUUAGGUUCCUGAUCCUCUAGAAGAAGGUACUAGUCCAGAUCUUGAAGUGGUCAGUUAUUUAUUAUUUCUGCUGCAUUUACAUGGUUUUCUUGUAUUUGGGGUUCUAAUGCAAGUUUUUGAAGUUCUAUUGAAAUGCCAAGUUUCUGAAGUUCUAUUUUUCUUGACUGUCGAAAUGCAUUAUUGCUAUUUUGAUAUAUCUAUGCUACUUUCUUGAUUAACUCUGUUUUUAUAAGUGAAAGUUUGUGUUAUAACAAAAGUGCAAUAAAUUAUUCUAAAUUAGUUGCAGUAUUUUUAGAAAAGAGAAAAUCUAGCUCAAUUGAAAAUUUAACCAAACUAACAUUGUAAUUCAAUUUAAUUUAGUGUAUAAAUUGUUCUCUAUCUAAACACACAGGAAAAUACUUCUAUAAUCUAAAUAUGGAGAGACUCUACUUUGAUAGACUAAUGAAUAAAAUUGGACGACUCCAAGGGUCAUAUGAUACUUAUGGAAUCUGCAAAAACCAUUAUAUCUAAAAGUGGAGCAGUCGACAUCAAUUUUUCCACAGAAUAGACAACAGGCAAGUGGGAUAAUCAAAGGGAAAAAAAGGAGAUAAGCAAGCAAAUAAAAAGCUUACCUUUUUAACUAAGAAGUGGAGAACUCUAAGAAACUCAGUAUAAGUAUGUAGUAGAGAACCCCAAGAAACACAGUCCUCAGAGUAGAGUAUCAAAAAAAGUAGAUAUCUUGUCGAUAUUAGAAUAAAUUUAGCAGUUGGGAAUUUAUAGUAAGGAUCGGAGAUAAAGGAUCGGUGAAGU